CUUUACACAUGCAAGUCGAACGGCAGCACGGGAGCAAUCCUGGUGGCGAGUGGCGAACGGGUGAGUAAUGUAUCGGAACGUACCUUUCAGUGGGGGAUAACGUAGCGAAAGUUACGCUAAUACCGCAUAUUCUGUGAGCAGGAAAGCAGGGGAUCGCAAGACCUUGCGCUGAUUGAGCGGCCGAUAUCAGAUUAGCUAGUUGGUGAGGUAAAGGCUCACCAAGGCGACGAUCUGUAGCGGGUCUGAGAGGAUGAUCCGCCACACUGGAACUGAGACACGGUCCAGACUCCUACGGGAGGCAGCAGUGGGGAAUUUUGGACAAUGGGGGCAACCCUGAUCCAGCCAUGCCGCGUGAGUGAAGGAGGCCUUCGGGUUGUAAAGCUCUUUCAGCCGGGAAGAAAUCACAUGGGUUAAUACCCUGUGUGGAUGACGGUACCGGAAUAAGAAGCACCGGCUAACUACGUGCCAGCAGCCGCGGUAAUACGUAGGGUGCGAGCGUUAAUCGGAAUUACUGGGCGUAAAGCGUGCGCAGGCGGUUGUGUAAGACAGGCGUGAAAUCCCCGGGCUCAACCUGGGAACUGCGCUUGUGACUGCACAGCUAGAGUACGGCAGAGGGGGGUGGAAUUCCACGUGUAGCAGUGAAAUGCGUAGAGAUGUGGAGGAACACCGAUGGCGAAAGGCAGCCCCCUGGGUCGAUACUGACGCUCAUGCACGAAAGCGUGGGUAGCAAACAGGAUUAGAUACCCU
rnacentral:rRNA from 1 species